AGGGUUGAUAGGUUAAGAGCUAACGAACUGGACGUUACCCGAAGAAUAAGCACCGGCUAACUCCGUGCCAGCAGCCGCGGUAAUACGGAGGGUGCGAGCGUUAAUCGAAAUUACUGGGCGUAAAGGGUGUGUAGGUGGCAAUAUAAGUUACUUGUGAAAGUCCCGGGCUUAACCUGGGUUGGACGGGUGAUACUGUAUAGCUAGAGUAUAGGAGAGGGUAGUGGAAUUCCAGGUGUAGCGGUGAAAUGCGUAGAUAUCUGGAGGAACACCGGUGGCGAAGGCGACUACCUGGCCUGAUACUGACACUGAGGCACGAAAGCGUGGGGAGCAAACAGGAUUAAGAUACCCUGGUAGUCCACGCUGUAAACGAUGUCAACUAGCUGUUGG
rnacentral:rRNA from 1 species